GCCACCCAUAACAUUUCAUAUGGAGUAUCCCUACCUGAAAAAGCCUCUAAGAGCCAAAGAAUCACUGCAGCAAGAGAAAGGCUCCAACGAGCAAUCGAUAUAAACAACAAUGCUUGUUGUGAAGUUGAUGUGGAGAGUGUUCUCAGCAUUGCAAAGAGCUCAGGAAUCGCGUAUGCGGUGCAUAGGGCUGCAGCUGUUGCAACCACAUUCCCUAAGUCAGCUCGUGUGCAAUUUCUGCCAGUCUAUGUGGCACUGGACCUUGCCAAGAGUAUUGAACCAGAUGCUGAUAAGGAGGAGGUCCUACAAUGUGCCCUGAAAAUCAUGGACAGUGCUGCAAAAAUAUCAGAUCACUCUCUUGUGAUCGCACUGUUUCGUGCAGGACUGAUGGCUGUCCUCCAUGAUUAUGCUGCAGCUGAGGAUGAGUGUUGUCGAGCCCUUGCCAUUGAGAAGGCUGACGAUCCAAGCAGUCACGACAUCCCUGUAGGGUCUACCAAAGGGGAUGAAUAUGAUGAUCGGAUUUGCUUUGUAAAGAAACAGAUCCAUGGGCUUCUACAAACUCUUGUACUAUUCGCAAGACGUGAUUGGAGCCUUAUAACAAGUGAAAAGCAACGAAUGAUCCUAUCUGUUAGGCUUGAUGUUCUUUGCGAAUACUACAGCAAAAUCAACCGUUCACUAUCCAAGUCUCUAACAGAUGCUCAUCAUUUCGUGAGUAGUAACAAAUCAUGGAUUCUGAGGAAAUGCCCCCAUUCAGGCUGCUCUAACAUUACAUUCGACAGCACUGUCAUUCCAUUUACUGCAAAGGAAGUAGCUGAUGCUGCUGAACUGCAAAGGGAGAAACGAAAAGAAGGAAAUGACAUCAUCAAGGCAGUCAAGAAGAAGUUGCGGAAUUUACCUUCGGAUAGAUCAAGUAAUGAGUUCCAUGUUGCUUGUAAAAUUAUUCAGGAAAUGUGUCAUAAGCUCCUCAAAAGUUCAUGCACUGAUUACCGAGAAUUCGUGUUGCCCCUUCUUCGAUUCCACCGAUGGCUUUCGUAUUCUGACAACUUAAUUGCUGGAGAAGAUAAAAGAAGUGAGGUCCUCGUUGAAAAUGCUAACCCCUCAGAUUUGGAAUUGAUUGAUGUGGAGGACAAUGGGGUGAAGCCUUCAGCGACACUAGAAACAAAAGUAAAAAUUGGACAAUUCAAUGAUGAAAUUGCAGGCACCUCCAAUUAUCAGAACUCAGUACAGGACGUUCCUAAGAUUUUGGUUCCAAAGAUCUCUGAUCCCUCUUUAUACAAGCCCCCUCCUGAUCCGCGGAUCGUAAAUCAGCAAGCCACUCGGUAUGGCUAUAGCGCUUUAUACAGGCCAGCUAUUGGACAAAGUGUUGUGACUCCAGUAAAUAGACUUGUGGAGAUCGUUGAUGCAGCAAAUAAGUUUGACCCAUACGAGGUGGAGCAUUCGCACCAAUCAUACAGAAGAGAACAGGCUAAGAUCCCAAAGGAUCAGGAACUAUGUGUCAUCUGCUUCUUUGAGAGAUAUUCUACUAUCGCAAUGGCUUCAGGAAAGAUAAUACAUCAUUGCCAAACAAUACAUCAGAAUGCGGGAACCAAAUGCAACUUGUGCAAUGCGAGAUUUCUAAAAGACAGUGAUCUAGAGUUCCACAGGAGAUAUUAUCAUCAGCAGCAGUAGGAUGCUAUUGUGAUCUUGACUUCCACAGGAAUGAUGGUGAAUAGGUCUAGAUGACUGAUCUACUUUACAGCUUGCUCUCAUUUCUUGUCUUUAGUGUCAAAUAUGAUGGUGAAUAUGUCUAGAUGACUGAUCUUUUACUGAAUUGAGUACAAUUCAUACAAUGCUU
rnacentral:lncRNA from 1 species